rnacentral:rRNA from 1 species
UACGUAGGGUGCAAGCGUUUAAUCGGAAUUACUGGGCGUAAAGCGUGCGCAGGCGGCUUUGCAAGACAGAUGUGAAAUCCCCGGGCUCAACCUGGGAAUUGCAUUUGUGACUGCACGGCUAGAGUGUGUCAGAGGGGGGUAGAAUUCCACGUGUAGCAGUGAAAUGCGUAGAGAUGUGGAGGAACACCGGUGGCGAAGGCGGCUCUCUGGACCGAUACUGACGCUGAGGCGCGGAAAGCGUGGGGGAGCAAACAGG